UCUUACCAACAACAACAUUUCC
rnacentral:snRNA from 1 species